GGGUCUUUCGGAAACAGCCUUUCUACUUCAUCAAAGGUAGAGGUAUGGACUGCGUACAUCUUACCCCCCCAGACCCCACUAAGUGGGAAUACACUGGGUUUGUUGUUGUUGUUGUUGUUUGAUCCUGGUGGAACCCUCCUAAAAUAUCAUGUCGAAGCUACUAUUUUUUAUGCAUCUAGUUUGAGCUAUAAGGACCUUAUUAAGUUCGGAUUUAUGUUGUUAUAUGCUAGUGCUCAAAACCAGUCACUAAGUUGUGUCACGAUGAGGGAAUUUGAGAUAUCAUGUCAGUUAAAGAAAUUGACUGGAUCAAAUAUUGCUGCAAUCUGCGAGGGAGUCAGAAAAUGCAUUUUAGUGCUACUCAAGCAGGUUACUAACACCUUUCCACAGCUUAUAAUGACUAUUGAGAAGCAUUAUUAUGGAGGUAAAGCUGAUACUGGAGGAAAGAAAACAAAAGUUGUAGGCAUGAAUACUAGUGUUGUCCUAAAAAUUGAUGUUGAGUUUUGGAGGGAGCGCAAAAGGGAUUUAAUUAGGAAUGCUAGAGCUUUGGGAAGAUCAAGAAUUGCUUACGAUAGGUCUAAGAGAAUAUUCUACUGCUCAAACCACUACUGAAGUGGAUUCCUUAUUUAAGGGAAUAUAAUCUUAUGCCAUUAUUACUCGAGCUCGAUUUGAGGAGUUAUGCAUGAGCAUGUUGUUUAAGAGUAUGGAACCUAUGGGGAAGUUCUUGAAUGAGGACAAGGUAGAUAAUGUUCACAUGUAGGAAAUGGUUUUCAUUAGCAGAUCAUCUAGACUCCCAAUAAUUCAACAUCUCUUGAAGGAUUACAUCGAUGAGUAGAAGCUCUACGCGAGUAUAAAUCUGGAUAUUGAUACGACUUGUGGUGCAGCAGUUCUAGACACAAUUCUGAUUGGUAAUGGAGAAGAAAAUGUUCAAGAAUUGCUAGUGGUUGAUUUCACCCUAUUAGAGCUUGAUGUUGAGACUGUUGGUAGGACGAUUAUUGUAUUGAUUUCCAGAAGUGCUACAAUUUCAGCCAAAGAAGAGCAAAUUUUCCCAACCUACUCAGAUCAUCAACUUGAAAAUAAUCCAAUUGAAGAGCUCAUUCGUUUGAAUUACUGUAAUUGGCAUUGGCAAUUUUGUGGGUGUUCAGUUCUCCCUGUUACCGACUAGUAAGAACCAACCGUUAUCACGGUCGAAUGCAUCAUCCUUGUCCUUGAGGACAAGGUCAAUUUCAAGCAGGAAGAAUUAUAAUGACCCAAAGUUGCUAUGUCUGCAUGCGCCAAUUGAAUAAUCGUGAAAAACAGAAUUGGGGUCAGCAGAUAUUUUACAAGGAACGGUGGAGAUAAUAAUAAUAAAACAACGGUGGAGAUUAGCCCAAUUAUUAAAAAAGCCAGCUCAGCACCAACUCAAUCAAUUCUAUAAAUAGCCUUAACAGAAAUUGGGAUAGGCAGUUAUAAAUUUGAACGGAAUUCUCCUUGUCUAAUCUUCUAGAACCUUCUUCUUUCUCUUCUACUCUAUCUUCUCCGUCAUUACUUCAUUCUAAGAUUUACUACAUGUAUCCAUGGUGGAAGUUGCAGAUUCAUAGUGAAGUAUAGCUUAGUAUUUUCUUAUUCAUUGAUUGUAAUCGUAGAUUAUUAUCAAUAAACACCGUUCCAUUAUAAAUUCGAAUUCACAAUUCCAACUGAGUUAGUUACAUUACACCCUUCAAAUCAGAAGAUAUUGCGGAUACUACGUGUUGGUAGGUAGCCUUAUCAAUUUCACCGUCCAUUUAUUGUCCCAUUCAAAUCAGAAGUUAUUGCGGAGACAACAACGUGCUGGUAGGUAGUCUUAUCAAUUUCACCAUCCAUAUAUUGUUACCUUCACAUCAGAAGAUAUUUCGGAGACUAGAACGUGCCGGUAGGCAGCCAAAAAGAAGAGUUCCAACUUCUUGGAAGUCAGAAAAUUGGAAGGCAGUCAAUAAACUUGUCAAUAACUAAAUUUCACAUGUUAUUUACUGCAAGUUUCAAGAUUAUGGUUUUUCAACAGCAUAAUUUUAUCUGCUUUAAAGUUAAAAAAAUGAAUCUUGAGUGUCAAGAUAGUGCUAUUCCAGUUUGCACUUGUCGACGGUGUAAUUAACCUUUGUAUCUUUCUUUUACAUUUAACCAUUGUUUGGUCUCUGUGAUAAGUUAUAAUGCGGUUAUAACUCUAUUUAAUACUAGUUAUACUGCUGAGUUUAGCACAACUGGAUAUUGAAAAUAAUUCCGGGAUAAAGCUUAAGAUUAAUUUUAUUGGUUUAAGGUAUUAACUAAUUUGUGGACUAUUUUAUCACGCCACUUGAGUACAAAUGGUGGGAUUAAUAUCCCAUAUGAAGGGCGAAAUAGAAUAGUUACACGGGAUAUCUCUACUUAUCUCAUCUGGUGUACCAAACGAUAUCGCAAGACACGUUAUGCCCUAUAAUGUAUAAGCUAAGUGGUAUGUACUUCUUAACGUAUAAUGUUCCAAAACAACUGAACCUCUGCCCUAUAGGGCAUAACCUAUGGCUAAGGAACUUUUUUGUAUAGCGAAUUUGUUAGCCUUAUAAUUUUUUUAAAAAUAUUUUAGGACAGUUUUAUUCAACGUUUUUAUUACUUUAAGGGCUUAUGAGGACUAAGAGUGUAAAAUUAUCUCAAGGUUAAUUUUUAAGAUGAAUUUAUCCCAACUCGAGGACAUCUUCUUGAAAUUCCUCAAAAGUUUUCGAGUGGAUGCGAACUUGCGUGAGCCGUUUUAUGAGACGGAGAUCGAAGCAAUGAGACCUAAUGAGUCCAACACUAUGUUUAUUGAUUUCUCUCACGUUAUGCGCUUCAACGAUGUUCUUCAGAAAGCCAUCUCCGAUGAGUUUCUCAGGUCUGUGCGUGAAUUGUUGCUGUCAAUCCAUGAAAAUGGUGAGUUUUCGAGAAGAAGAUGAUCACUAUUUUUUCUUUUUAUUUCUUUAAUGUAUUUUUUUUAUUGGUUGAAUUUUUUAUGUUUAAUUUUUUUUUUAAUUAAUUAUGGUCUCUCAAGCUCCUAAUGGAGAGUGAAUUACACAUGUCAUGCCAUGUCCAUGUCACAUUAGCAAUUAUGCUUAAUUGACAUGAUUUAUGAAGGAGUAAAAAGUUCAAUAGGUACCUGGCUUAAUUGAGGUCCAUAUAUGGAAAAAGUCAAAUAGUUCAGGGGCCUGUAUAUGUAUUUUGUUUUAAAAUGUAUGGUAUGGUAUGGUUUAGUCUCAUGGUUUGGGAACCA